rnacentral:misc_RNA from 1 species
GUGAAUCAUCAAAUUUUUGAACGCAAAUUGCACUCUCCUCGGAGAGUAUGCCUGUUUGAGGGUCAGCCUAUAAAAAAUCGACAUCGUUGCUGUUUCGCGGUGGCGUUCGUCGGAAAUUGGGUCAUCUUAAAUCUUUUUGUUUUAAGCGACUUAAAAUUUUCUUUUUGGUCCCAUGAACGUUUCUAAGAUUUAUUUCUUUACACGUUUAGUGAACCGAUUUUUUUUGUAGUUACCAUCCUUACCGAU